UGAGCAACAGAGCCUCAAGGUUCAACAAGCCUAGGAUCACAUCUGAAUCACUGAUAUCUCCAUUCCAUAGAACUUCAAAGGAGAACCCAUCAAAGAUCGUCUCGAAAACACUUGCCUUGAUCAGGAUAUGCUGAAAAACCACCGACGAGGAAAAUGACUUCAUCAUCAUCUUCUUAGUGGAAAUAUAGUCAAAAACAUAAAAACAAGUAUUCCAAUAACAAUGUAGAGAUCUAGAUGAGAGAGAGGUUUCCAGCAAGUUUUGAUAGUCUUGCUUAAGAUUUUAUUCCAUUUGAACGGGUCAUUUAGAGCUAUCAGAGUGGCGGACAUCAAUGCCUGUCACCUUUGAGGUCUAACAUUGCAUGCACAGUUUUAAGCAAGAUAUCUUGCUAGGAUGUGAGAUUUUUCAGCAAGUUUUAAAACAUCUUGCAAAAGAUUGAUUGAAAUGCCUCAUUCUGAUUCCAUAUUUUACAGAUUCAACUGGUCUUUUAGGUGAGAGGUUGCAAGUCUCGGCAUUGUCGCUGCCUUAGGGAUGACCAUGAACGACCCUCCCAACCAACCUGAUCAGGAGAGCCUCAAGGUUCAGCUGAUCUUUUAGGUGAGAGGUUGCAAGUCUCGGCAUUGUCGCUGCCUUAGGGAUGACCAUGAAACCUCCCAACCAACCUGAGCAGGAGAGCCUCAAGGUUCAACAAGCCUAGGAUCACAUCUGAAUCACUGAUAUCUCCAUUCCGUAGAACUUCAAAGGAGAACCCAUCAAAGAUCGUCUCGAAAACACUUGCCUUGAUCAGGAUACGCUGAAAAACCACCGACGAGGAAAAUCACUCCCAUCAUCAUCUUCUUAGUGGAAAUAUAGUCAAAAACAUAAAAACAAGUAUUCCAAUAACAAUGUAGAGAUCUAGAUGAGAGAGAGAUUUCCAUUUGAACGCGUCAUUUAGAGCUGUCAGAGUGGCGGACAUCAACGCCUGUUACCUUUGAGGUCUAACAUA